CCAAUUCAGACUCAAGGUCUAUAAUAUGAGAUGAACCAACUCCAAAGAUCAGGAUCUCCAAAACUUUUCUUAUUUUUGGGUGUGUCAAAGUUCCCAAGAUCCUCAAGUGGACUUCGCCCAAUGCUUACACCCAAAUACAUUGCAUAAUUGAUUAUAGUGUGGUGUGGAAGAGCCAACCCUCAAAUGUCCAAGUUUAUAGGAAAUUCAAGGUCCCAAAGCAAGGCUCAUAGGAGGGGGGACAAAACUUAAAAUCUAAGAGAGUGUGCAAGUGCAUAGAGGGGAUUUAAGGAAGGCAAUGGUGGGCUGGUGGUCAUACCAAACAAUUAGGAGUGCUGGCACACCCCUAACCACCCUGUUAGCCACAUUUGUUUGGGAGCUAAGAUCUACUAAGGAUCAGGUUUAGACAUGAGCAGUAAUUUGGAUACUGCCAUGCCAGAACGUUAACUCAAACACAUAGAAGGGAAUAAGGGGUAGGGAUUCACAAUAGAAAUAGAUGCAAGAAAAUGCAUAGUUAAUAUUAAUCACUGAGCAUGGACAAUAACGUAAACAAGAUUACAGAAGCUAUAAAUAAACAUAUUGGGAUUAUGGCUGAAAUUAAAUUAAAACAUACCAGUUUUAGGGAAACAAACAAGUAAAAGCAGAAGUCUUGUAAAGCCAAAAUUGCAAGCAAACAGCUAGAAGAAACUUAGAUGAGAAUGUGAGAGUAAUUGAGAGUGUCUUAAAGAGUACUAGACUAGAAGGUUGUAAAAGUAUUAAAUUCGAAGUCUGUCAAAGUGCAGGAGGGUCGUGCCCUUUAUAGUGUAGAAAGCAAAUAAGAAAAGGUAAGAAAAUAGCAUUAAAAUCAAUCUUCCUUUAAUUAAAGGAUUCUAAUUUCAAAUGGGUAAAAGGAAAUUAAGAAAAAAGUUGAUCAAAACCUUUUCCAAAGUAGUACAAUAAGGGCAAAUACACAAGCAUUUAUGUAAGGCAAAAGUUCAGUGGUACACAGUUUGUGACAAAUAAGAAAAGGGAAUCAAUCAAACAUCCAGUUAAAAUCAAAAUUGCAGGUUUUGUCUGAAUAAACCAAGUCAGGAAAAGUUAAGAAGGUUCAAUCAAAGAAAGAAACAGUAACAAUUACUCAAACCUUAUUAAAAGGGAUUCAAAAUCAAUCAAUAGUUGGCAAAACCUUUUUUAAAAGAAUAAUUUCUCAUAUAUAAAGCACACAAAUAUCAAACAAGAAGGAGUUGUCAUCUUGAUUAGAAAAGACUAUCAUAGAAAAGUCACAAAAAUGUACAGAUCCAAUUUAUAGACUCAGAAUGAGUCUGAGAUUUCAGAGUUUUAAAGUAGAACCCCAGUCCAAACACAAAAUAAACUUGCCAAAGAAACCCUCAAAUCCAAAGGUUUUAACUCAAAUCAGACACAAAUGAGAAGGCAAGCCAUCGAAAUAGACUUAGAGGUCUGUUUCGGAGCCUCAUAAGGAAACACACUGAUAUAAUUGCAGGUUUGAAGCGACCGAGUGAAAGGUUGAUUUAAAAGCAUAAAGAAAAUGUUUUAGGAAAAAAUCGGAACUUAAGAAAGUUUAGAAGAGAAAAUAAGGGUGAUAUAAACUUUAAAAAUAGUAAAGGAAUCAUGCUUAGAACUCAAACAAAAGUCCAGUAAAGCAAACAAAAUUUAAGAACUCAUUAGGAAACACGUACAGUAGAAGAAUACUGGAAAGUAUAGCAAAGAACAUGUAGGAAAACAUAACAAAGAUUAAUAUGAAAGCCUAACCUAGAGGCACAGUAGAGUAUAAAGGUACAGAAGAGUCGCGUAUAGUAGGAAGAAAAUAAAAGAACAACACAUGUGUGGUAGAAAAGAAAACACAUUAACAGAAUAUAGAUGAACACACAUAAAGAAAAGAAAAGGAAGAAUCAGAAAGAUGUUUUGAAAAUCUUUCAGAAACCCUAAAUCGAAGAGAAGCAAUUUGUGAAAGAAAGAUUGGGGAAAUACUUUAAACAUCCAGUAGAACACAAAUAUAUCAUAGAUCUAAGAAAACAAACAAAGAAAAAACUCGAAUAGCCUAGGAUUUUGUAGAAACCUUGGAAAUGAGAAAGACUUUGAAGGUCACCGAUCUGGGUCGGAGAAGGUCGGAAACAGGAUCGACGAUCAUGGUACACCGGAACAGAGCCGGAAAGGACCUUGAGACCGCGAAUACAUGGUGGUCUGGAUUUAGUCCUUCGUAGUCAGGCCUCGAAUCUUCAGGUAUUAGGCACGUAAAAGCACCUGUAGGUAGGUGUAAGACUCCUAUUACUUUGAUGGCCAUAAAUUUCUGCAGAUUUUAGGGCAGAGGUGGCUAGGGUUAGCGAAGGUUCGAGAGUGUUUGAGAGAAGGGGAGGGUUUCAGAGGUUUCUG
rnacentral:lncRNA from 1 species